rnacentral:rRNA from 1 species
AACGUACGCUGGCGGCACGCCUAACACAUGCAAGUCGAACGAAGUAGCAAUACUUAGUGGCAGACGGGUGAGUAACAUGUAGGUAUCUGCCCUUUGGCCUGGAAUAACACGAGGAAACUUGUGCUAAUACCGGAUAAGUCUUUACGGAGAAAGCUUUAUGCACCAUUGGAUGAGCCUGCACUUGAUUAGUUUGUUGGUGGGGUAAUGGCCUACCAAGACUGUGAUCAAUAGCUGAUUUGAGAGGAUGAUCAGCCACAUUGGGACUGAGACACGGCCCAAACUCCUACGGGAGGCAGCAGUGGGGAAUCUUGCACAAUGGAGGAAACUCUGAUGCAGCGAUGCCGCGUGAGUGAAGAAGGCCCUUGGGUUGUAAAGCUCUUUCGUCGGGGAAGAAAAUGACUGUACCCGAAUAAGAAGGUCCGGCUAACUUCGUGCCAGCAGCCGCGGUAAUACGAAGGGACCUAGCGUAGUUCGGAAUUACUGGGCUUAAAGAGUUCGUAGGUGGUUGAAAUAGUUGGUGGUGAAAUCCCAGAGCUUAACUCUGGAACUGCCAUCAAAACUUUUCAGCUAGAGUAUGAUAGAGGAAAGCAGAAUUUCUAGUGUAGAGGUGAAAUUCGUAGAUAUUAGAAAGAAUACCAAUUGCGAAGGCAGCUUUCUGGAUCAUUACUGACACUGAGGAACGAAAGCAUGGGUAGCGAAGAGGAUUAGAUACCCUCGUAGUCCAUGCCGUAAACGAUGUGUGUUAGACGUUGGAAAUUUAUUUUCAGUGUCGCAGGGAAACCGAUAAACACACCGCCUGGGGAGUACGACCGCAAGGUUA